CUGGAGUCUGCAACCCGACUCCACGAAGCUGGAUUCGCUAGUAAUCGCGCAUCAGCCACGGCGCGGUGAAUACGUUCCCCGGCCUUGUACACACCGCCCGUCAAGCCAUGGGAGCCGGGGGUACCUGAAGUGCGUAACCGCGAGGAGCGCCCUAGGGUAAAACUGGUGACUGGGGCUAAGUCGUAACAAGGUAGC
rnacentral:rRNA from 1 species